GCUAAAGAGACAGAUAUUUCUAUCAGGAGUUGGUAGAGACCAGAAACAGAGAUAAAAGAGAACUAAUGUUGGACUCACAUUGAUCAGGUGGACAGGAUUGCAAAUGAUGGAUAAUGUUGCUCUAUAAUUGCUGCAUGCUUUAAUAACUGCUUGCUAACAAGUUCAGAUCAAAAGUUUAAAAGAUGAUGAUGUAUCAAUGUUAGGUUAACAACUUGUUUCUGCUCCCCGAAGUGGCCAGAAAAAUCAGGGACCCUUGGCAUCUGUAUCCUGGACAAAAAUUUACCUCAUCUUUUCCCUUUCAUCCACUUCCACUCGCUCCUACUUCAGUGCAGCCUGCUUUUUAUCAAUGGGCUCUCCUGGACUGGACUUCUGAAUAAGAGUUGCUGUGUAGCUCACUCUCACCAAGCAUUUUAAGGGUUUCAUUCCAAAACAAUCAGCAGAUAUUCUAAUCAGGUAAGCGAUUUACUCUGAAAUAUAAAACUACUCAGUAAGCAGAGGUCUUGAGAUAAUGAAUCAUUUUGAGCCAUAACGUGCUCCUCACUCCACUGACAGGGUGGACG
rnacentral:lncRNA from 15 species